GCAUCAUCUCUCUAUUCCCCAGCCUCCGAGAUCCAUACUCAGACAAUGGAUAUGUAAGUUUGUAAAUGAAAAGCUUGUAUAUCAAUUUAUGGAGUGGUAAUAUGGUCUGAACCUACUCUACAAUUUGUUUUUAAUAUGACAGAAACACUUCUAUGACCCAUGUAGCGGAUCUGGCUACUUGGCCUGGAGAUUAAAGACUGCUCAGCGCAAAACUGCAACUCAGUCCCGGAGAUCUUCCACCAGCGCAGCUUACCAAGAUAGUCCAAAGAGAAAGAGGGAGGUUCUCUGCAUGGAUAAGCAGCUGCUUGGUGAGCACUGUCAUGAAGCAAUAUCCUUUUUGAAACAUUCAACUGAUGAAUCGGC